UUCAGGAAGUGCUUGGUCCCCACCUUUGCUGGUGAGCAGCCUGCUAUUCCCAUGCCCUGGGUGUCGCAUGAGCCCCCAGCAAGUCACAGAGAUCCCCAGGAAGCUCCUCCCCACCCUGCCCCAGCAUUGCCCAGAGGAGACAGACCUGCCCACCAGGAGGCCUCACCUGGUCCUGCACCCCUGAGAACACUGGGCACAGGCUGGCUUGCAACCCACAGCUGGUAGAUCUGUUUAAGAUUCCAAAUUCUUGCUUUCCACAUAAUUUAGAUCAAGACUUGAAAUUUGAGAAAAGUACCUUCCCGUGAGAUGGCCUCUGUGAGAGCGGGUCCAGAUCUGUGCUGCGGGGGCUGGGGAGCUGUUGGUUCUUGCUGAAUCACCUUCAUCCAGGGAGCUGCCAAUCCUCCCCAGACACCAGAUCUAAUCUGACAAGUGGCCUCCACGCGGGGAAGACAAGCAGAUAUGGGUGGAUGAGAGGAGGAGAGGACAGGAGAAGAACUCGGCUUGGGCACUCAGUGCAGGGACUGUUGAUUCUGCUGGAGGACAGACCUCCCACACUGGUUCCACACAACCAGAACUCAGUCGCGCUGCUCGCCUUCACGUCUAGCCAGAUGCUGACCUUCUCUGACCCGGCUCGCUCCUGGGACAGGGGCAGGAGGAGGUGGGAGAUGGACCCCAGCCACACCCCAGGAGGGACCCUGUUCUCCUCGAUCCGGUCCGCUUCCCUCCUCCUGUAACUGCUGCCCUGUGCCUGCCUGGAUCACUGCCACUCAGUCCCCCCUGUGAGAAAGCCAGCCGUCUCCACAGUGGUGCUGUCCCCGUUCCCCAGACCAGGAGGUCUCAGGGGACAGAGAGCUCUGGGCCACACACAGGUCGGGACAGAU